CGAAGGCAUGGCAAGUUCUUCUCGUUCUACGAUUGGCUAAGCUGUGAAAAUCGUCUCAACAAGAAACUGUUAUGCAACAGUUUCACGAUGCGAUGCGCCUUUCUGUACAAACCAGAACACAUCUCGCUUACGACAGUAUAAGCAGAAGCGCUCGGCGCCUUAGUAGUGGCAGGACUCCAACAGUAGAUCUCCACAAUUCACGCAGUGUCUUCGUUGACGACUGAAUCCAACCGGUUGAGAUUUACAAGGCCAGACGUGACGUACGCUGUCAGGCAUAAGAAAACCAUACCCUUGCUCCAGAAAUUCUUCAUAAAUACCUGGGACAUCGGACUUCGUCGAGCAAUUCGGCAUUACAGCUCUAUAGGUCUAGGUGGAUGAACGGAAGGGGACGAACUGUCAAGAUGUCAACUCUAACGUACUUACUCGAGGGAAAUCACAAGCUCGUCAGAGGACCAGAAAUAGAUAAAAUGGUCAACGAUUGGUUCUUGAUGAGCAAUCCAGCCACCAUGUUGUUUAUCGUGGCCUGUUAUCUGUUGUUCGUCCUAAAGGUAGGGCCCAAACUGAUGGCCUCACGCAAGCCCUUCAACCUGCAAGUGCUUAUGGUGGUCUACAACUUCGCAAUGGUUCUCGUAAGCCUAUACAUUUCUCUGCUGGUGAGUCCUGUACAACAGUUAUGGACCAUUGUGUCUUUCUGCGUCUUUCGCGAAAUAUUUUGCAUGCGAUAUGCAAAAUAAACUCACAAGAAAACAAGCAACACAUCCCAAGAGUUGGUUUUAACCCUCUAAAACCGAAAGAGAGAGAGAGAGAGAGAAGAGAAAGUGAGGGGGUAGCGAUGGCCAAUAUUAUUUUACCUGGGGGGGGGGGGGAUUUUUUAUUUACGGCUGCCAAGAUACCCAGGCAUUGCCCGCUCGUCCUUCUGGUAGAAAUAGGUUCAGUGAGGGCAAAGCACUUGG